CCCAUGUAGCGUAACAGGAUCACUAUAUUGUCAGGAAAACAAAACUCCCGUGGCGCUGAAGGGGUUAAAACCCCUUCAGCAGCUUACCUUAAUCAAGCGCCGGGCUCCCUCGGCGCUGGUGACUUCUCCUGCCCUGCCGACGUCAGCUUCCCCGUCCGACGUCAAAUUUUUAAAUCGUUAUAAAGACACAAGGGCAAAACUGUUGAGGGAAUGGAAAAGCAUUGGUAUUUCUUGGUUGGGAAGAGUGAAUAUUAUUAAGUCAUAUAUUCUCCCUAAAUGGGCUUAUGUUUUUAGAAUGCUACUUUUAUCU